rnacentral:rRNA from 1 species
UACGUAGGGUGCGAGCGUUGUCCGGAAUUAUUGGGCGUAAAGAGCUCGUAGGCGGUUUGGUAGGUCGGAUGUGAAAGCCCCGGGCUCAACCCGGGAAUUGCAUCCGAAACCACCUCACUCGAGUGUGGGAGAGGGAAGCGGAAUUCCUGGUGUAGAGGUGAAAUUCGUAGAUAUCAGGAGGAACACCGGCGGCGAAGGCGGCUUCCUGGCCCAUUACUGACGUUCAGGUACGAAAGCGUGGGGAGCAAACAGG